rnacentral:rRNA from 1 species
AGCGAACGCUGGCGGCGUACUUAACACAUGCAAGUCGAACGAGGAUCGCUACGUGAGCAAUCAUGCGGCGGUUCUAGUGGCGUACGGGUGAGUAACACGUGGGCAACCUGCCCUGGAGCCUGGGAUACCCUCUCGAAAGGGAGGCUAAUACCGGAUACGUUCCCCGGGUCGCGAGAUCUGGGGAGGAAAGGUGGCGCAAGCUGCCGCUCUUGGAGGGGCUCGCGGCCAUCAGCUAGUUGGUGAGGUAAUGGCUCACCAAGGCUAUGACGGGUAGCUGGUCUGAGAGGACGACCAGCCACGACGGGGACUGA